rnacentral:rRNA from 1 species
UACGAAGGGGGCUAGCGUUGUUCGGAAUCACUGGGCGUAAAGGGCGCGUAGGCGGCUUUAUAAGUCGGGGGUGAAAGCCUGUGGCUCAACCACGGAAUUGCCUUCGAUACUGAAGAUCUUGAGUUCGGGAGAGGUGAGUGGAACUGCGAGUGUAGAGGUGAAAUUCGUAGAUAUUCGCAAGAACACCAGUGGCGAAGGCGGCUCACUGGCCCGAUACUGACGCUGAGGCACGAAAGCGUGGGGAGCAAACAGG